rnacentral:rRNA from 1 species
GCUGCGGCAGGCUUACACAUGCAAGUCGAGCGGUAACAGGAGAAGCUUGCUUCUCGCUGACGAGCGGCGGACGGGUGAGUAAUACUUAGGAAUCUACCUAGUAGCGGGGGAUAGCACGGGGAAACUCGUAUUAAUACCGCAUACGACCUACGGGAGAAAGGGGGCAGUUUACUGCUCUCGCUAUUAGAUGAGCCUAAGUCGGAUUAGCUAGAUGGUGGGGUAAAGGCCUACCAUGGCGACGAUCUGUAGCUGGUCUGAGAGGAUGAUCAGCCACACCGGGACUGAGACACGGCCCGGACUCCUACGGGAGGCAGCAGUGGGGAAUAUUGGACAAUGGGGGAAACCCUGAUCCAGCCAUGCCGCGUGUGUGAAGAAGGCCUUUUGGUUGUAAAGCACUUUAAGCAGUGAAGAAGACUCCAUGGUUAAUACCCAUGGACGAUGACAUUAGCUGCAGAAUAAGCACCGGCUAACUCUGUGCCAGCAGCCGCGGUAAU